rnacentral:rRNA from 1 species
CCUACGGGAGGCUGCAGUGGGGAAUAUUGGACAAUGGGCGAAAGCCUGAUCCAGCCAUGCCGCGUGUGUGAAGAAGGCCUUCGGGUUGUAAAGCACUUUCAGUGGGGAAGAAAGCCUUGGGGCUAAUACCCUCGAGGAAGGACAUCACCCACAGAAGAAGCACCGGCUAACUCCGUGCCAGCAGCCGCGGUAAUACGGAGGGUGCGAGCGUUAAUCGGAAUUACUGGGCGUAAAGCGCGCGUAGGCGGUCUGAUAAGCCGGUUGUGAAAGCCCCGGGCUCAACCUGGGAACGGCAUCCGGAACUGUCAGGCUAGAGUGCAGUAGAGGAAGGUAGAAUUCCCGGUGUAGCGGUGAAAUGCGUAGAGAUCGGGAGGAAUACCAGUGGCGAAGGCGGCCUUCUGGACUGACACUGACGCUCAGGUGCGAAAGCGUGGGUAGCAAACAGGAUUAGAUACCCUUGUAGUC